rnacentral:misc_RNA from 1 species
AAAAAAAACGAAAAAAAAAAAAAAUUGCUCCAACUGUAAUGCUUGAGUUGAUGCAUUACGCAAUAGGAUUGCCGAGAUACAACUAGUGAAGCAAAACAGAACUAGAUUUUCACAUUUUAUUGAAAGAUGGCGUUGGAGAGCUUGGAGGCUUGAAGUCCUCAUACGCAGGGUAAGGAGAAUGACAGAAAGCUGAACUUUUUGAUGAAUCCUCCUUGGAGAAAUUGUUAGCACUAUCGAUUGCCACAUCGUUGCCUCCAGUAACUGCUGAUGUUACUUCCGCAGUUGCUGAGGAUUUCAAACCACUCGGUCUUGGACUUGGAGAUCUAGGUGGCUUUAAAUCUUCAUAAG